CGUGUAGGCGGCUUGGUAAGUCAGAUGUGAAAGCCCUGGGCUUAACCCAGGAAGUGCAUUUGAAACUGUCAGGCUUGAGUAGGGGAGAGGAAGGUGGAAUUCCUGGUGUAGAGGUGAAAUUCGUAGAUAUCAGGAGGAACACCGGUGGCGAAGGCGACCUUCUGGCCCUAUACUGACGCUGAGACGCGAAAGCGUGGGUAGCAAACA
rnacentral:rRNA from 1 species